AACGUAGGAGACAAACGUUAUCCGGAGUUACUGGGCGUAAAGGGCGUGUAGGUGGUUGCGUAAGUCUGGCGUGAAAUAUCUCGGCUUAACCGAGGUAGGUCGUCGGAUACUGCGUAACUGGAGGACGGUAGAGGCGUGUGGAAUUCCGGGUGUAGUGGUGAAAUGCGUAGAGAUCCGGAGGAACACCAGUGGCGAAGGCGACACGCUGGGCCGUACCUGACACUGAUGCGCGACAGCAUGGGGAGCAAACAGG
rnacentral:rRNA from 1 species